rnacentral:rRNA from 1 species
UACAGAGGGUGCAAGCGUUAAUCGGAAUUACUGGGCGUAAAGCGUGCGUAGACGGUUAUGUAAGUCGGGUGUGAAAGCCCCGGGCUCAACCUGGGAAUGCCAUUCGAGACUGCAUAGCUAGGGUGCGGAAGAGGGAAGCGGAAUUUCCGGUGUAGCGGUGAAAUGCGUAGAUAUCUGGAGGAACACCGGUGGCGAAGGCGGCAUCCUGGACCAACACUGACGCUGAGACGCGAAGGCCAGGGUAGCGAACGGG